GGCAGGCGUAACUCAGGUGGUCAGAGUUUUAAACUGUGAAUUUAAAGAAAUGAGUUCAACUCUCAUCGCUUGCC
rnacentral:tRNA from 1 species